rnacentral:tRNA from 1 species
AAGAUGUUAGUAAAAUAUUACACUGCCUUGUCAAGGCAUAAUUGCGGGUUAAAAUCCCGUACAUCUUG